rnacentral:lncRNA from 1 species
GUACUAAGGAAGGCGCACAGCCCGCCGCGCUCGCCUCUCCGCCCCGCGUCCAGCUCGCCCAGCUCGCCCAGCGUCCGCCGCGCCUCGGCCAAGGCUUCAACGGACCACACCAAAAUGCCAUCUCAAAUGGAACACGCCAUGGAAACCAUGAUGUUUACAUUUCACAAAUUCGCUGGGGAUAAAGGCUACUUAACAAAGGAGGACCUGAGAGUACUCAUGGAAAAGGAGUUCCCUGGAUUUUUGGAAGUAAGUACCCUCUGGCUGUGGACAAAAUAAUGAAGGACCUGGACCAGUGUAGAGAUGGCAAAGUGGGCUUCCAGAGCUUCUUUUCCCUAAUUGCGGGCCUCACCAUUGCAUGCAAUGACUAUUUUGUAGUACACAUGAAGCAGAAGGGAAAGAAGUAGGCAGAAAUGAGCAGUUCGCUCCUCCCUGAUAAGAGUUGUCCCAAAGGGUCGCUUAAGGAAUCUGCCCCACAGCUUCCCCCAUAGAAGGAUUUCAUGAGCAGAUCAGGACACUUAGCAAAUGUAAAAAUAAAAUCUAACUCUCAUUUGACAAGCAGAGAAAGAAAAGUUAAAUACCAGAUAAGCUUUUGAUUUUUGUAUUGUUUGCAUCCCCUUGCCCUCAAUAAAUAAAGUUCUUU